UGAAUACGAGACGCUAAGGCGUCGAAGUAGUGUAUGUCAUACUUCCAAGAAAAGCUUGCACUGUCAUAGAUAAAAAACGCCUGUACCAUAACCGACACAGGUGGGUAGGUAGAGUAUACUAAGGGGCGCGAGAUAACUCUCUCUAAGGAACUCGGCAAAAUAACUCCGUAACUUCGGGAGAAGGAGUGCCUUAUUCGUAAGGUUGCAAUAACAAGAUCCAAGCAACUGUUUAUCAAAAACACAGGUCUCCGCUAAGUCGUAAGACGAUGUAUGGGGGCUGACGCCUGCCCAGUGCCAGAAGGUUAAAGAAGUUGGUUAGCAAUUGCGAAGCUGAUAACUGAAGCCCUGGUGAACGGCGGCCGUAACUAUAACGGUCCUAAGGUAGCGAAAUUCCUUGUCGGGUAAGUUCCGACCCGCACGAAAGGCGUAAUGAUUUGGAUACUGUCUCGGAGAGGGGCUCGGUGAAAUAGACUUGUCUGUGAAGAUGCGGACUACCUGCACCAGGACAGAAAGACCCUAUGAAGCUUUACUGUAACUUGAAAUUGAAAUUGGACUUUAUUCGCGCAGUAUAGGUGGGAGGCGUUGAUUAUAAUCUUGCGGGAUUAUUGGAGCCAUCAGUGAGAUACCACUCUUGUAAUGUUAGAUUUCUAACUUUGAAUCAUUAUCUGGUCAAAGAACGGUUUCAGGCGGGCAGUUUGACUGGGGCGGUCGCCUCCUAAACGGUAACGGAGGCGUACAAAGGUUUCCUCUGAACGGUUAGAAAUCGUAUCUAGAGUGUAAAGGCAUAAGGAAGCUUGACUGUGAGACCUACAAGUCGAGCAGGGACGAAAGUCGGUCUUAGUGAUCUGACGGUACUGAGUGGAAAGGCCGUCACUCAACGGAUAAAAGUUACUCUAAGGAUAACAGGCUGAUCUCCCCCAAGAGUUCUCAUCGACGGGGAGGUUUGGCACCUCGAUGUCGGCUCAUCGCAUCCUGGGGCGGUAGUACGUCCCAAGGGUUGGGCUGUUCGCCCAUGAAAGCGGUACGCGAGCUGGGUUCAGAACGUCGUGAGACAGUUCGGUCCAUAUCCGGUGUAGGCGUUAGAAUAUUGAGAGGAGCCUUCUUUAGUACGAGAGGACCGAGAAGGACAUACCUCUGGUGUACCAGUUAUCGUGCCAACGGUAAACGCUGGGUAGCUAUGUAUGGAGUGGAUAACCGCUGAAAGCACCUAAGUGGGAAGCCCACCUCAAGAUAAGUAUUCUC
rnacentral:rRNA from 1 species